rnacentral:rRNA from 1 species
CGAACGCUGGCGGCAGGCUUAACACAUGCAAGUCGAGCGAGAUCUUCGGAUCUAGCGGCGGACGGGUGAGUAACGCGUGGGAACGUGCCCUUUGCUACGGAAUAGUCCCGGGAAACUGGGUUUAAUACCGUAUACGCCCUUCGGGGGAAAGAUUUAUCGGCAAAGGAUCGGCCCGCGUUGGAUUAGGUAGUUGGUGGGGUAAUGGCCUACCAAGCCGACGAUCCAUAGCUGGUUUGAGAGGAUGAUCAGCCACACUGGGACUGAGACACGGCCCAGACUCCUACGGGAGGCAGCAGUGGGGAAUCUUAGACAAUGGGGGCAACCCUGAUCUAGCCAUGCCGCGUGAGUG